AUUGAACGCUGGCGGCAGGCCUAACACUGCAAGUCGAGCGCGAAAGUUCUUCGGAAUGAGUAAAGCGGCGGACGGGUGAGUAAUACAUGGGAAUCUGCCUGGUAGUGGGGGACAACGUUUCGAAAGGAACGCUAAUACCGCAUACGCCCUACGGGGAAAGGGGGGAGUCUUCGGACCUCUCGCUAUCAGAUGAGCCCAUG
rnacentral:rRNA from 1 species